rnacentral:rRNA from 1 species
UCCGCAGGCGGAUUGGUAAGUAUCUUGUGAAAUACCAUGGCUCAACCAUGGAAUUGCUCGGUAAACUGCCAAUCUUGAACACGGUAGGGGCCAUCGGGACUCUAGGUGGAGCGGUGAAAUGCGUAGAUAUCUAGAGGAACGCCAGAGGCGAAGGCGGAUGGCUGGGCCGUUGUUGACGCUCAGGGACGAAAGCAUGGGUAGCGAACG